rnacentral:rRNA from 1 species
UAAUACGUAGGUGGCAAGCGUUAUCCGGAAUUAUUGGGCGUAAAGCGCGCGUAGGCGGUUUUUUAAGUCUGAUGUGAAAGCCCACGGCUCAACCGUGGAGGGUCAUUGGAAACUGGAAAACUUGAGUGCAGAAGAGGAAAGUGGAAUUCCAUGUGUAGCGGUGAAAUGCGCAGAGAUAUGGAGGAACACCAGUGGCGAAGGCGACUUUCUGGUCUGUAACUGACGCUGAUGUGCGAAAGCGUGGGGAUCAAACA